GACUCAGCUAGUCACUAGAUCUUUUCUUACGGUUUCAGAGAAAAGUCAGCAAAAACUGCACAUUAUACAGGGCGACAGGCAUGGCAGCAGUUUCUGGUGCACAUGUUGCCUGUCUCCCGGUGACAGAAGAUAACAGAGGACUAAGAGCGCACAUAUACCUCAAGAGCCCUAAGGCUGCCACAGGAGAGUAAACAACUCCACCCAGCACUGCUCCAGGCCGGGUGCAGAGGCCGCAUUCCUGAAGGCUUCAGUGCAAUAGGAACAAGCCGGGCCAGUUCCUAUCAGGCAACAAAAACACUCCUCGAGGUUCUCAGAACGCACAACAUUUCAAGAGGAAAUAAAAACCCCAAGAUAAA
rnacentral:lncRNA from 1 species